CGUGGCUUGUUUUGGUUUCGAACCGGGUUGUGCUGGUGACUGUGAUGUCGGAAGCUGGCUCAGAGAUUAUCGCCGCCGCUAGCAAGUCCAGUGUGUGCGGUUUAUGAGUGAUUCGUAGAAAGCGCAGGACAGAGAGCGAUGCGUGAAAGAAAGGCAGCUGUUGAGCAAAGGGCGAGCCUGUCCACAGAUGUAACGUAAGUUUUCCCUUAGCUGUUCGAAUUGAUCUUUUGCUUUGUUUGUGUUCAC